GACAGAGGGGGCAAGCGUUGCUCGGAAUCACUGGGCGUAAAGGGCGCGUAGGCGGCCUGAUAAGUAGGGGGUGAAAUCCUGCGGCUCAACCGCAGGGCUGCCUUCUAAACUGUCAGGCUGGAGCACGGUAGAGGCAGAUGGAAUUCCCGGUGUAGCGGUGGAAUGCGUAGAGAUCGGGAAGAACACCAGUGGCGAAGGCGGUCUGCUGGGCCGUUGCUGACGCUGAGGCGCGACAGCGUGGGGAGCAAACAGG
rnacentral:rRNA from 1 species